GAGAUAAGAGAAAGAGAGGUGGUGGUCUGUGGUUAGAGAUGAUGCUGGAAACAAUAAAAUCCUGAUCUUUGCAAAGAGAAUUAGAAGAGAGGAGAUGAGCUAUGACUCGUGAGAAGUAAGGAGAAGAAAUAGGGGAGAAAGGAAAGGAGGGUUGAGAGAGAGGGAGAAAGGGAAGAGUAGGAUCAGAGAGAGAGGGGAGGAGGUAAGGAUGAUCCAGCAACAUGAGAGAGGAUCAAGACUCACAAGAGAGG
rnacentral:lncRNA from 1 species